UAAUACGUAGGUGACGAGCGUUAUCCGGAAUUAUUGGGCGUAAAGCGCACGCAAGCGGUCUUUCAAGUCUGACGUGAAAUCUCUUGGCUUAACUGGGAGCGGUCGUUGGAAACUGAGAGGCUUGAGGCGAUGAGAGGGGUGCAGAAUUCCCGGUGUAGUGGUGGAAUGCGUAGAUAUCGGGGGGAAUACCUGUGGCGAAAGCGGCACCCUGGCGUCGUUCUGACGCUCAUGUGCGAAAGCGUGGGGAGCGAACGGGAUUAGAUACCCCGGUAGUCCACGCUGUAAACGAUGAACACUAGGUGUGGGGCGUGUCAAAACGCUCCGUGCCAAAGCCAACGCGUUAAGUGUUCCGCCUGGGAAGUACGGCCGCAAGGCUA
rnacentral:rRNA from 1 species